UCACCCACACCAGCACUGAAAGUCAUCUCUCCCUCUCCCUUGUCUCAUCUCAUACGCCCCUACAUCUGAAAUGGCCAAAACAAUCACUUUCAUUUUCUCCCUAUAAUUGUACUUGCAUGUUGAAGAUCUUCCCCUAUCCUUCAUCUACUCAUCUCAAGCUUGUUAUCAAGUGGUAAUAUCAUAAAAACUCAUGCUUUUCCCUUUUAUCUUGUAAUUUUUGGGAUGGUUUUCAACAUCCACGAACUGAUUUUCUUCUCUUUAACAUUUUAAACUUUUGGUAAUGAUGCUGGUAGGGAGAGCUUAAGUUGUUCAUCUAUUUAUCUCAAGGAUCAAGCACAUUUCUAACUCAUUCAAAGCAUGGUGGAAUAAUGGCCGACAACACAAGGAUAAAGUCACGCAAGAUGGGAGCAGCACAAGUUGAGUAGUACAACUGGUGGACCAUGCAAAGAACAUAUUGACAAAAAGUGCACGUUUCCGCAAUAGUCAGGUAUUCGAAGAUUUUUACAAGAUGAUGUCAUAAACUCAAGUUCAACGAGGGAUUACGCAUGAAUUUCGGGGGAGAAAUUUUAAAACUUUCAAACAUGUUAAGUCUCUCCAAACAACAAGUUUUUGUCAUAAUCAAAAAGGGGGAGAAUGUAAAAUACAUGUUUUUGAUGAAGACAAAGACCAAUGAAUGU